rnacentral:rRNA from 1 species
UACGGAGGGUGCAAGCGUUAUCCGGAAUCAUUGGGUUUAAAGGGUCCGUAGGCGGACUGAUAAGUCAGAGGUGAAAUCCUGCAGCUCAACUGUAGAAUUGCCUUUGAAACUGUUAGUCUUGAGUUAUUGUGAAGUGGUUAGAAUAUGUAGUGUAGCGGUGAAAUGCUUAGAGAUUACAUGGAAUACCGAUUGCGAAGGCAGAUCACUAACAAUAUACUGACGCUGAUGGACGAAAGCGUGGGGAGCGAACGGG